AGAGUUUGAUCAUGGCUCAGGACGAACGCUGGCGGCGUGCUUAAAACAUGCAAGUCGAACGAGGUCCAACCUCUCGCAAGAGAGGGGACGACCUAGUGGCGAACGGGUGCGUAACACGUGAGGAACCUGCCCCGGAGACCGGGAUAACCCUCCGAAAGGAGGGCUAAUACCGGAUGUGUUCAUCGGAUCGCCUGGUCUGAUGAGGAAAUGGAUUCCGCUCCGGGAUGGCCUCGCGGCCUAUCAGCUUGUUGGUGAGGUAACGGCUCACCAAGGCAACGACGGGUAGCUGGUCUGAGAGGACGAUCAGCCACACUGGGACUGAGACACGGCCCAGACUCCUACGGGAGGCAGCAGUUAGGAAUCUUGCGCAAUGGGCGAAAGCCUGACGCAGCAACGCCGCGUGGGGGAUGAAGGCUCUCGGGUUGUAAACCCCUUUCAGCGGGGACGAUUGUGACGGUACCCGCAGAAGAAGGACCGGCCAACUACGUGCCAGCAGCCGCGGUAAUACGUAGGGUCCAAGCGUUGUCCGGAUUUAUUGGGCGUAAAGAGCUCGUAGGCGGUUCGGUAAGUCGGAUGUGAAAACUCAGGGCUCAACCCGGAGACGCCAUCCGAUACUGCCGUGACUGGAGUCUGGUAGGGGAUCACGGAAUACCUGGUGUAGCGGUGAAAUGCGCAGAUAUCAGGUGGAACACCGAUGGCG
rnacentral:rRNA from 1 species